rnacentral:rRNA from 1 species
GAUGAACGCUGGCGGCGUGCCUAAUACAUGCAAGUCGAGCGAACAGACGAGGAGCUUGCUCCUCUGACGUUAGCGGCGGACGGGUGAGUAACACGUGGAUAACCUACCUAUAAGACUGGGAUAACUUCGGGAAACCGGAGCUAAUACCGGAUAAUAUAUUGAACCGCAUGGUUCAAUAGUGAAAGACGGUUUUGCUGUCACUUAUAGAUGGAUCCGCGCCGCAUUAGCUAGUUGGUAAGGUAACGGCUUACCAAGGCAACGAUGCGUAGCCGACCUGAGAGAGUGAUCGGCCACACUGGAACUGAAACACGGUCCAGACUCCUACGGGAGGCAGCAGUAGGGAAUCUUCCGCAAUGGGCGAAAGCCUGACGGAGCAACGCCGCGUGAGUGAUGAAGGUCUUCGGAUCGUAAAACUCUGUUAUUAGGGAAGAACAAAUGUGUAAGUAACUAUGCACGUCUUGACGGUACCUGAUCAGAAAGCCACGGCUAACUACGUG